AUGAACGCUGGCGGUAUGCUUAACACAUGCAAGUCGAACGGAAUGCUUAGGCAUUUAGUGGCGGACGGGUGAGUAACGCGUGAGAAUUUGGCUUCAGGUCGGGGACAACAGUUGGAAACGACUGCUAAUACCGGAUAUGCCGGAAGGUGAAAGAUUUAUUGCCUGAAGAUAAGCUCGCGUCUGAUUAGCUAGUAGGAGGGGUAAAAGCCCACCUAGGCGACGAUCAGUAGCUGGUCUGAGAGGAUGAUCAGCCACACUGGGACUGAGACACGGCCCAGACUCCUACGGGAGGCAGCAGUGGGGAAUUUUCCGCAAUGGGCGAAAGCCUGACGGAGCAAUACCGCGUGAGGGAGGAAGGCUCUUGGGUCGUAAACCUCUUUUCUCAAGGAAGAAGAAAGUGACGGUACUUGAGGAAUAAGCAUCGGCUAACUCCGUGCCAGCAGCCGCGGUAAUACGGAGGAUGCAAGCGUUAUCCGGAAUGAUUGGGCGUAAAGGGUCUGUAGGUGGUACUGAAAGUCUGCUGUUAAAGAAUCACGCUCAACGUGAUCAAAGCAGUGGAAACUACAGAACUAGAGUGCGGUAGGGGCAAAAGGAAUUCCUGGUGUAGCGGUGAAAUGCGUAGAUAUCAGGAAGAACACCGGUGGCGAAAGCGUUUUGCUAGACCGCAACUGACACUGAGGGACGAAAGCUAGGGGAGCGAAUGGGAUUAGAUACCCCAGUAGUCCUAGCCGUAAACGAUGGAUACUAGGCGUGGCUUGUAUCGACCCGAGCCGUGCCGGAGCUAACGCGUUAAGUAUCCCGCCUGGGGAGUACGCACGCAAGUGUGAAACUCAAAGGAAUUGACGGGGGCCCGCACAAGCGGUGGAGUAUGUGGUUUAAUUCGAUGCAACGCGAAGAACCUUACCAAGACUUGACAUCCUGCGAAUCCUGGUGAAAGCUGGGAGUGCCUUAGGGAGCGCAGAGACAGGUGGUGCAUGGCUGUCGUCAGCUCGUGUCGUGAGAUGUUGGGUUAAGUCCCGCAACGAGCGCAACCCUCGUUUUUAGUUGCCAGCAUUAAGAUGGGCACUCUAGAGAGACUGCCGGUGACAAACCGGAGGAAGGUGAGGAUGACGUCAAGUCAGCAUGCCCCUUACGUCUUGGGCUACACACGUACUACAAUGCUACGGACAAAGGGCAGCUACACGGCGAUGUGAUGCAAAUCUCAGAAACCGUAGCUCAGUUCAGAUCGAAGGCUGCAACUCGCCUUCGUGAAGGAGGAAUCGCUAGUAAUUGCAGGUCAGCAUACUGCAGUGAAUUCGUUCCCGGGCCUUGUACACACCGCCCGUCACACCAUGGAAGUUGGUCACGCCCGAAGUCAUUACCCCAACCGAAAGGAGGGGGAUGCCUAAGGUAGGACUGGUGACUGGGGUGAAGUCGUAACAAGGUAGCCGUACCGGAAGGUGUGGCUGGAUCACCUCCUUUUUAGGGAGACCUACCCAAACAGGAAUCGAAAGCACAGAGCAAAUAGAUACUGAUUUUGGUCUACUCUAGGUCGGUCGCAGGAUUGUUGAGUCUUUCAAACUAUGAUUGGGUUCAAUUAAGGGCUAUUAGCUCAGGUGGUUAGAGCGCACCCCUGAUAAGGGUGAGGUCCCUGGUUCGAGUCCAGGAUGGCCCACCUGAAAGAAUUUUAGAUUUUAGAUUUUAGAUUUUAGAUUAAAAAAACAAUCCAAAAUCCGAAAUCGAAAAUCCAAAAUUGUGGAUGGGGGUUUAGCUCAGUUGGUAGAGCGCCUGCUUUGCAAGCAGGAUGUCAGCGGUUCGAGUCCGCUAACCUCCACAUUGGAAAAAUUCAGCACCUGGAACUAUGAAAAUAGAGCAGAAUGCUGGAUAAAAGUCCAGUCAGAACCUUGAAAACUGCAUAGUAACGCGAGGCAGUUCAGUAAUCUAGUGCGAAAGCAACAGAUAAACUGACAGAAAACCAAUGUCAAGUGGUCAAGCUAAUAAGGGCUAAUGGUGGAUACCUAGGCACACAGAGGCGAGGAA
rnacentral:sRNA from 1 species